rnacentral:rRNA from 1 species
AUUGAACGCUGGCGGCAUGCUUUACACAUGCAAGUCGAGCGGCAGCGCGGGGCAACCUGGCGGCGAGCGGCGAACGGGUGAGUAAUGCAUCGGAACGUGUCCCGUAGUGGGGGAUAACCCGGCGAAAGCCGGACUAAUACCGCAUAUUCUCUACGGAGGAAGGGGGGGACCCGCAAGGGCCUCUCGCUAUGGGAGCGGCCGAUAUCCGAUUAGCUUGUUGGUGAGGUAAUGGCUUACCAAGGCGACGAUUGGUAGCUGGUCUGAGAGGAUGAUCAGCCACACUGGGACUGAGACACGGCCCAGACUCCUACGGGAGGCAGCAGUGGGGAAUUUUGGACAAUGGGGACAACCCUGAUCCAGCCAUGCCGCGUGCGGGAAGAAGGCCUUCGGGUUGUAAACCGCUUUUGUCCGGAAAGAAAAGGCGCCUCCUAAUACGGGGCGUUCUUGACGGUACCGGAAGAAUAAGCACCGGCUAACUACGUGCCAGCAGCCGCGGUAACAC